UGAAUCUAGGGGCGGGUCGCUCGGGUAAUACGUAGGGGGGUGGGUGUGGCCGGAUUUUUUGGCGGGAAAGAGCGGGUUGGCGGUGUGACAGGUCUGUGUUGAAAACUCGAGGCUCAACCUCGGGCUGUCGGUGGAAACCGUGUGGCUAGAGUCCGGAAGAGGAGAGCGGAAUUCCCGGUGUAGCGGUGAAAUGCGCAGAUAUCGGGAAGAACACCCGUGGCGAAGGCGGCUCUCUGGGACGGUACUGACGCUGAGACGCGAAAGCGUGGGGAGCAAACAGGAUUAGAUACCCUGGUAGUC
rnacentral:rRNA from 1 species